UGGGGAAUAUUGCACAAUGGGCGCAAGCCUGAUGCAGCCAUGCCGCGUGUAUGAAGAAGGCCUUCGGGUUGUAAAGUACUUUCAGCGGGGAGGAAGGGAGUAAAGUUAAUACCUUUGCUCAUUGACGUUACCCGCAGAAGAAGCACCGGCUAACUCCGUGCCAGCAGCCGCGGUAAUACGGAGGGUGCAAGCGUUAAUCGGAAUUACUGGGCGUAAAGCGCACGCAGGCGGUUUGUUAAGUCAGCUGUGAAAUCCCCGGGCUCAACCUGGGAACUGCAUCUGAUACUGGCAAGCUUGAGUCUCGUAGAGGGGGGUAGAAUUCCAGGUGUAGCGGUGAAAUGCGUAGAGAUCUGGAGGAAUACCGGUGGCGAAGGCGGCCCCCUGGACGAAGACUGACGCUCAGGUGCGAAAGCGUGGGGAGCAAACAGG
rnacentral:rRNA from 1 species